rnacentral:rRNA from 1 species
UACGAAGGGGGCUAGCGUUGCUCGGAAUCACUGGGCGUAAAGCGCACGUAGGCGGACUCUUAAGUCGGUGGUGAAAUCCUGGAGCUCAACUCCAGAACUGCCUUCGAUACUGAGAGUCUCGAGUCCGGGAGAGGUGAGUGGAACUGCGAGUGUAGAGGUGAAAUUCGUAGGUAUUCGCAAGAACACCAGUGGCGAAGGCGGCUCACUGGCCCGGUACUGACGCUGAGGUGCGAAAGCGUGGGGAGCAAACAGG